CUGGCAAUUCCACGUCAGCACAAAAUUCACGUCAGAAGCUGACAUGGAAUAACUCCAAAAAACGUCGACGUUCUUGCUCUGAAUAUUGAGGGAAAAUUAGGAUUUCCUUUGCUUCGUCUUCUUCAAUUCGCUUUCAAAGAUCGACAAAAAAAAAAAAUCGCGCUCGAAGGGACAACACCGCUUGGUUGCUCCCUCCAUCAGGUUCGUUCUCUACGCCACGAAGCCAGAGCCAGCUAGCUUCUCCAUCCCCUUCUCCGUGGGUUAGCCUCUCUAUCGUUUCGCUCGAAGAAAUUGAUUGCGGACAGGAGGGAUUCCUCCGUAAAUCGACCGAGUCGUGGACUCCAAAACGCUCGGUCUCUUCCUAUACAAGCUCGAGCUUGGCCUCUCGGUGGAGAGGUGGCGGAAACUGCAAUUGAUGUGAGAAUGCUUUCUCAGAACUUACGAGAUCAAUUUGAGAACACAUUGAAGGCCUUGAAAGAGAAGGAAAAGGAGCAAAGGUGCCCGAGCUUGAGUCAAAGCCGACUGCAGCUGUGAUAUGAAGGAUGCUGAAAAACCUUUAUUGACACUGGUGCUUUGAGAAAGCAUUCUCACAUCCAUGGCAUCUUUUAGUAGGGGUUGAGUGAAAUGAAAUUGUGUUUUAGAUGAUGCGGAGCAUCUUGUAGCUGUAUUUUUAGAUCUCUCAUAUUCUCUUUUCGAUUUAUUUGUUUCUAAUGUUGGUGAAAGACAUAUUGAGUUGUAAUCCUUGUUGAUCUUGAAAUACAAAAGUUACCGAAUUAGUUGA